rnacentral:rRNA from 1 species
GACAGAGGGUGCAAACGUUGCUCGGAAUCACUGGGCGUAAAGGGCGCGUAGGCGGAUUGGGAAGUCGGGUGUGAAAUCCCUGGGCUCAACCUAGGAACUGCAUUCGAAACUCCCAGUCUAGAGUGACGGAGAGGGAAGCGGAAUUCCCGGUGUAGAGGUGAAAUUCGUAGAUAUCGGGAGGAACACCAGAGGCGAAGGCGGCUUCCUGGACGUCAACUGACGCUGAGGCGCGAAAGCGUGGGGAGCAAACAGGAUUAGAUACCCGCGUAGUCCCUGAG